rnacentral:lncRNA from 9 species
CAGGGCCCGGGGAGGAGCCAGGACCCCGGGCGGGAGAAAAGAGACUGAGGGGCGUGCGGCACAAAGAGCUUUUUAUUUAAAUUUGUUUAGAGUUUGGCGAAUUUGCAUGAAAAAUGUGUGAGAAAAGCCAGCUCCGGUGACCUCAUCCGCACCUGCCAUUAACGUUCAAUUAGCGGUUGAAUAGAGGCGCCGACGCGACGUGCAGAGAAUCCGGCGGGCCCCGCGGAGCCACGGCUGCGGGCCGGGCCCAGGGUGGGGUGGGAGUGGGGGGGCGGGGGCCGACUCCUGCGAGCCGGAGACGCUCGCCUCGUCCGCACCCCAACUCUCUGAGGGGACGUAGGAACCACAGAGCCCUCGAGUCCAAGGCGGCAUGGGGCGCAGCAGGGCCCGGGGCACCUGGGGAUGCCAGGCUCCCUCCUGGCGCCGAGGAGGGCAGGCUUGCCCCCUCCCCAGGAUAGGAGGUGGAUGGAUGAGCCCCCGUCCUAGCUCAGAUGGGUUCCCUCGCCACCUUCCGGACAAAGUGUCAAGUACAAGUUCAAGUUCAGGGCCAGGCCCGGGGGGGGGGGGGGGGGCGCCAAGCCUUCUCCCGCCGCCUUUGUUCUUGGAGAGAAUCACUCCUAAGUCUCCUCCGGGCGGGGCCCGGCCAACGCCCCCGCCCCGCCCCGUGGUGCCCAACUGGGGCCGCCUCCUCCCGCCCUCGCGGCGCCUGUCCCCUGGUCCCGGCGCCCCCGCUCAGGGCCACCGAAGGGUCUGGGUACUCGGGGAGGGGGGAGGCGCGAUCCGGGUCCGUGGGAGCCUCCCCAGCCCCGCAGUCCCAGCAGCAAACCGAGCGUUGUCGGACGGAUGCUCGCGCGGAGGGCCCCAACCCAGCCAGGUCUGAUGGUUACGGUGUGGACAUGCUGGAUUACAGCAGCGCCGCCUGCUCUGGCCCCAUGAUGCCCAGCACCACGUGGCACGUCCGGAUGCCCCAGCCUGGAGAGUCACGGUCGCACUCCCUUCCCCCACAGCAGCAAGGGGUCAUGCCCCCGUUGUCCGCAACUGGCCCUGGCGCCGCCCUCCGGGGAGGGGGAGAGACGGCCUCAGCUCCCCCAGGGGUGGGGUCUAGGGCAGGCUUCCGAGGGUUCAGAGGUUCUCGCCUUCUCUGCGUGGAGUGGAUGGAAGGCAGUUCCUUCCGUUUCAGGGGCUUCUUCCUGGCGCUCUUUGCCAAGGCCCUCCCUCGCCCACAGCUCAGGUGGAAAUACUGAGGCGGAUGAGUUCAGGUUGGCCAAGCCGCCAGCCACGGACCCUGGGUGUGCUCGCCCAUCCUGGCCCCGCCCCCUGCGCUCCCUGGUACCCACUGGCUCACUCCUGGGCGCUGUACAAUGAGAGGGGUGUUCCUAGCGGUCGCGAGAGAAAAGGGGUUACGAGGCCUUCCAGUUCCCACGCUCCCUCUGUGGAGUUUGCUUUUGCAGAUUCCGUUCCAGUCUGGUCUCCGGUUCCCUGGCUUAUCCUACGGCUGAGCGGAGUACCCGGGUAAAUAGGUAUCACUCUGCAGACUUCGGGUCAGGUCUGAGGGUCACGUGCAUUUGUUCUGCCUCCUCCAGGCACACAUUUCCAGACAGACCGGCAGAGGGCGGCCUGGGCCGGGGACGAGCGUGUUUGGAGGCCUCUCCUGAGUUCUGGGCGCCACACUGUGGGGCUCGGUGGUUCAGAUCUACACCUGACUCCCCCGUGUCCCAUACAGGCAAAGUCGCACAGACAGAGCCACGGAGAGGGGCGGCUGAAGGUGGAUGGGCGGGGCGGCAGCGCCACCUGCAGCGGGACCUGUGCGGAUGCAGGCCACUGGACGCCCAGGCCGACCCUCCAAUCUGUAACCCUGGGAGCUGAGAAAAUCAUUAUUACUUGACCUGUGUAGUGUGUAUGUGCGCGCACCUAAGUGUGCAGAGGCAGGGAAGGCAUGCACGCGCAGAUGGGAGGGCAGGCGGGGGAAAUGGGGGAUGGGGAAGCUCCAAACACUUGACCCUUCUAAUUUCUAGGCUGGGGUUUUCUAGAACAUUUAGUCCAAGCACCUCCUUUUAAUAGUAGGAAACUGAGGUCCACAUAGGAAAGAGACUUAUCCAAGGUCCUGCAGCAAUUAGAUAGAUACGGUGACACAGGUGGCACAGUCCCUCGGCUGUGUUCUGAGCUUCAGUUUCUUCCACAAUAAGCAUUGAAAUGCUACUAAAUCUGUAGUUUGGGGGGGCAGGCACAUCUGUAGGGAUAUGUUCUUGUCUGGGAAGCAGCAUGUAGCCGCCCGAGGAUGAGUCUGUGUCCAGGCAAGGGCGCCUGUAUGAGUGUGGCAGGGCCUGUGGGUAUUCACCCAUGAAGGGGUCCAUGGGCCUGCCUGCUGUGUGGAGUUGUGCCUGUUGUGCAUGUUGAAGGGAUGUGUGUGGAGGAGGGAAGGGGUAUUUGUGUAUGUGCUUGGGGUGUGUGUGUGUGUGUGUGUGUGUGUGUGUGUGUGUGAAAAGGGGUAAUUGUGAAGAACUGCAUCCUCAGGCAUCCUCAGGAGGGGCAGGUGUGAGUGAGUGUGUGUGUACUCAUGCCUCAUGCGUCAGCACUCUGCUGCCCCCCCCCCCCCCCCCGCCCUCCCCAUGCUCUGGAAUC